GUAUAAGUAUAUCGCCUACGCUAUAAACACACCGCGCGCUGGCUAUUUACAAGCGAGGGAGAAUCAAUUUUUAUUUUUCUAGAUCCUAUCGUUUUUCGCCGUACACCCGAGCGGUGUGAAAUUUUUAUAAUUAUACACUCCGCGAGACGAGAAAAAAAAAAAAAAUACGAUGUCGUGCGCGUCACGACUUGACGCACUGCACCUUGCGAACCGCGUGACGCGUACGCUGUCUUAAAAAGCGCAUCCAAUUUUUUCCUUCGAACAAGUCUCUUUUUUUUCUCUCUGACAAUGAAAAAAAAGGGCAUCGUCGAGCCGCCUGAAACAAUUCAACGCGUGUAUACAAAACGCGAGUGUAUUGCGACGACGACGGACGGACGAUGUGUGUGUGUGUGUGUAUAUGUACGAGGCGAACAAUGGGAAAAAGGAGGCAAUAGCGUGGGCGGCACGCGCGCGCCAAUCGAAAAUUAUUAUUUCGCGCGUGCAAUCAACCGUUUUGUUAUCGUUGCGAUGGGAUAGCCGUGAGUAUAUUUGGGAAAAAAGGCGUUUCGCGAUAAUUGAACACCGCGCGGUGCGAGUGAAGUGCGAUGUCGAGGUGUGAAAGAUAGAAUUCGGUGUUUGGCUUUUUUUUUUCAGGGUGGGCGAGGAGCGUCGAUUGCUGGGUUGAACGGUUCUCGUGGGUGUGGUUGAGAGUAAGAGGUGUAUUCAGGUGACGACUGGUAUGUGGUUCUCGAGCCAAAACGUAGCGAUAGAGUAAGCCUCGAUCCUCGAAAACAGCGAUACAUCAGUAUCGCGGGUAAAGGGCUGCGGGGGCGGGAACUAAUCAGCUGCUUAUAUAAUCUCCUCCUCGUAUUUAAUGAAAAAGGAGCGUCUAUUUAUGGAUAUGUUUUGCAAGCCAGAUAUUUUCCUCUUCUUCGCCCGGAAGAAAGAUUGGCCAAGUUCUGCGAGGAUUAGUCGCGCUUUUCCACGCCUACGCCUACUUUUUAACGACUCGCGGAAUCGUCACUCAACUCCUGAUUCGAUGAUCGGACGAUAACGUACGUUAAUUUUUCCCGUAAACUCGCACUCGAUUCCCUGAAAAGCCGUAAAGCUACCCAAACCGCGAGCCGUUCGCACUUUUCUCCCAUUCUAGCCAGUUCCCCGUAUAACACACGCGCAUACGCGCACUGAAACUUUGUUCAGGGCCGCAAGCUCGGAUGCGCAUACGUCAUCAAGGUCCUCUCAAGGUAUUAUAAACGUUAGCGCAGCGUCACCUCGUAAAUGUUAUAACAACGUGGGGAACACCUGCCUCUCUCGACGCUUAAUUAAUAGCGCUCCCCCGUGUGCGCAAAAGAUUAAUUAAUUAAGAAAAAUUUUUCGCCGCACACAUGAGGUCGGUCAGAGACUUGUCAAAACAAACUGGCUUUUAUACGAACUUUCGCGAAAUAUGCGAGAGAGAGAGAGAGAGAGAACGAGGCCAGCGGAGCCAAGGUCUAUUCAAUCAAAACGCGGAGAGCGAGCUGUUGCCAUUAUAUUCGUAUACAUAGGCAGAGUAUAGUUUGACCCGGCGAUAUCGGCGAACGAUUUCCAAACUUCGCGCGGGGACCGAGCUUGUCACUCCUCGGGACAAGCGGUUAAUGCGCGGUAGGUAUAUAGCGACUAUUUAUAGCUCUUUCGAAGUAGGUGACUAGCGCUUGCUCGGACUUUUGCUUUAUAUUCGUAUCGUGAGUGUGAGUGUGCGUGUGUGUGUGUGUGACGCUUUUGUGUAUAAAUUAUAAAGCAAAAAUUAAGAGUAAACUCGAAUCGACAGCGCUAACGUCGCGCAAUCCGUCAAUUCCUUCCGCUGCAAGCUCGUGUCAAGCUCUCGGCCGCAGCUGCGCGCAAUGGAGUCUCGAAUGGAAUUCAUUAAUUGGCGUGUUUGGAUGUUGGCUUUUUCGUUUGUUUUCGAAAUGUAAACUUUAGCUGGUGCAGUGUUUGGGCUGGAAGUUGGAUGCUCUCGAGUGGUAGCAGUCGGGAUGCGUCAGACGCGAGCUAUGAUCUGUUGAUCUGUUGUUACAGACUUUGCAAUUAAAAAAGUUGGCUGCGCACUAAUUCCCGGAAAUUUGUUUUUACGAGCCUGCAAUGACGGCAUUAUAUACUCUCAUAAUCUCGAGGUUAUUACAAAAAGCGCGGUAAAUUGAAUUUUUUCAAAAAUUCCCCUCGAAAUGAAAGAAAACUCGGAAAAAGUUUCGCAUCGCGCGUGCAUCCACUCUCCUCUCAUCUCGACAUACACCCUUUCCCUCGUAACGCGCGUGCGCGCGCCGGUUCUCCUCUCUAUAAGCUCUUCGUGUAUACGCGCUCUCUUCCCGCAACGCGCCUAGGGGGGUGGGAUCAAUAAUUUCCGGGGAUAUAAAGGACCGGCCCGCGGCGCGCGCCACGGCACACAGAAGCGUGCAGUUCCACCGGUUCUCUCAAUCCAGCCAGACGCACACGUUACUCGGACGCAGAACGGCACGCACGAUCGGCAUACCCGUGUAAUACUCACCAUCCACCCCCUCAUCAAGAGCUACGGACACCCAUCACAUCUCUUCUCUGUAUUCGUUCACACACCCGCACCCGCACACCCACACACACACACACACACCCCCACACAUCCAUCGGAGAGCGGAGCCGGCGGCACAGCAGAUCAGCAGCGUCAGCGGCGGUCUCCGGAACGCGUUUGAACGGAAGAGAUUCUCCUAAGAGAAGUAUUUACUCGCGGUGGUAAAUAUCCCGGCGACAUAUAACAUACCGAGCUCGGCGUAAUAAACAGCUCUUCCAUUUAC